CUUUCUCCCCCCGUGCUAUAAAAACCGGGCGUCGUGUUUCCCCUGCUCACCAAAACCAAAUCCAGAACUCUCCCUGGGAAUUUGGUGGCCGAUUUGCCGCCGCGUGGGUGUGGUGGGGCAUGCGCCGAACGACUCCUGCGUCGGAGCUCAAGCGCCUCGGGGUCUCCAGCAAUGGUAUGACCAUCAUCGGAGCUCGCUGCUCGUGGAUGGUGGCGAGGCAACGUCGCCAGCUCCAUCCUCGUCACACCCGCGCGUGAGGACACGUGUCACCUGAAGACCAUCCUGAUACCUGGAAUCUCAAGUCCCAGGUCAAGAGCAGGUACCACAGGAUGAGGCGCAUGGAGGAUGCUGUGACGAGUUCGUGAGAGGUCUAGGCCGUCGUCUCCCAGUCAACUUUGGGUUGCUGGACCGUUGUCUCCAUAUAAUGUAAUUAUUUAUUUAUUUUGUACAAAACUCCGAUUAUAUAGUAAAGAUGUGACAUUCGAUCCUGUGCCAUGAUUCAUCAUAUGUGUGAGACUUGGUCCCAGCACACCUGGUGAUUAUGUUCGCGCCCGGGUCUUGGUGCCCCGAAACUCGGGUGUGACAGGUUGUCCAGGGCAUGUGUCUAUCGACAUCCCAUAAAGGGGUUGUAGCUGGUUGUGACAACUUGUAUCCGAUGAAUUACGCAUGUUUUCCCCUAAU
rnacentral:lncRNA from 7 species